UACGUAGGGUGCAAGCGUUGUCCGGAAUUAUUGGGCGUAAAGAGCUCGUAGGCGGCUUGUCACGUCGACUGUGAAAACCCGGGGCUCAACUCCGGGCCUGCAGUCGAUACGGGCUGGCUUGAGUGCGGUAGGGGAGACUGGAAUUCCUGGUGUAGCGGUGAAAUGCGCAGAUAUCAGGAGGAACACCGGUGGCGAAGGCGGCUUCCUGGACACUAACUGACGCUGAGACGCGAAAGCGUGGGGAGCAAACAGG
rnacentral:rRNA from 1 species